UCCUCCCAAGUCUGUGGUUGCGGGCAGCUUGAACAGCAUGUCCUAGUCCAUGGCAGAUGCGGUCGAAAGGAUCCACGUAAACGGCCGAGGCAACUCGGUCGCGAGCAUGGCGCAUCUUAGGGGUAAGACGUACCGUCCGUUAUGGGCGCAUAGGGCGCCCCGGGCGAGAAAGUGAGUAGUGAGAUCGUAUCAGGCGAAAGCUUCGGUAUGCGAGUGUGGGGUCAAAAACCAGGUCAGUUGGGGGGA
rnacentral:ncRNA from 12 species